rnacentral:rRNA from 1 species
UACGGAGGUGGCAAGCGUUGCUCGGAAUCACUGGGCGUAAAGGGCGCGUAGGCGGGGAGGUAAGUCGGGUGUGAAAUCCCUCGGCCCAACUGAGGAACUGCGCUCGAGACUGCUUCUCUUGAGUCCCGGAGAGGAAGAUGGAAUUCCCGGUGUAGCGGUGAAAUGUGUAGAGAUCGGGAGGAACACCGGUGGCGAAGGCGGUCUCUGGACGGUGACUGACGCUGAGGCGCGAAAGCGUGGGGGAGCAAACGGG